AUACGGAGGGAGCUAGCGUUGUUCGGAAUUACUGGGCGUAAAGCGUGCGUAGGCGGAUCGACAAGUUGGGGGUGAAAUCCCAGGGCUCAACCCUGGAACUGCCUCCAAAACUGUCGAUCUAGAGACCGGGAGAGGUAAGCGGAAUUCCUAGUGUAGAGGUGAAAUUCGUAGAUAUUAGGAAGAACACCAGUGGCGAAGGCGGCUUACUGGACCGGUACUGACGCUGAGGCGCGAAAGCGUGGGGAGCAAACAGGAUUAGAUACCCGAGUAGUCC
rnacentral:rRNA from 1 species